UGGGGAAUAUUGCACAAUGGAGGGAACUCUGAUGCAGCGACGCCGCGUGAGUGAUGAAGGAAUUCGUUUCGUAAAACUCUGCUCUAUGGGAAGAAAAGGACUGUACCAUAGGAGAAAGCUCCGGCUAAAUACGUGCCAGCAGCCGCGGUAAUACGUAUGGAGCGAGCGUUGUCCGGAAUUAUUGGGCGUAAAGGGUGCGCAGGCGGCUUUACAAGUUGGAUGUGAAAUAUUGUGGCUCAACCACAAACGUGCAUCCAAAACUGCAAAGCUUGAGUUAAGGAGAGGUAAGUGGAAUUCCUGGUGUAGCGGUGGAAUGCGUAGAUAUCAGGAGGAAUACCGGUGGCGAAGGCGACUUACUGGACUUAAACUGACGCUCAGGCACGAAAGCGUGGGGAGCAAACAGG
rnacentral:rRNA from 1 species